rnacentral:rRNA from 1 species
UACAGAGGGUGCAAGCGUUGUUCGGAAUUAUUGGGCGUAAAGAGCUCGUAGGCGGUUUGUCGCGUCUGCUGUGAAAUCCCGAGGCUCAACCUCGGGUCUGCAGUGGGUACGGGCAGACUGGAGUGCGGUAGGGGAGAAUGGAAUUCCUGGUGUAGCGGUGGAAUGCGCAGAUAUCAGGAGGAACACCGAUGGCGAAGGCGGUUCUCUGGGCCGUAACUGACGCUGAGGAGCGAAAGCGUGGGGAGCGAACAGG